rnacentral:sRNA from 1 species
UGAAAAUGAAAUCGCUUUUCAAGUACUUUCGUUGUUGGUUCGGCCUUUGGUUUUCAUUGUUAUCUAUAAAGCGUGAAGUUUCAAGUAGUUUGUCUACUCACGGAUGUAUAUUUGUAUCUUUGUAUCUCUGCGAGUAUCCGGGGUUUUCUACUAUUUCUACUUCUACUUUUUCGGACCUUUUUCUAUCGUGUUUUUUUUGUUUUUUUUUUUUUCACAUCCAACGACACGACAAGCUACCGAAAAUCUUACACUCUCUCGCACACACACAUUUCACUUGAGCCGCACUUGUGGGGGAUUGCUUGUGUGUACCCACUCUUUUCGCAGACGGAGGAUGCUUUGCUUUUGAAGGUGUGUUGGCAACAGCUGGAGAUCAAGGGAACCUUUGAGUCUAUUAGAAAUUUCCGAUUAGUCUCAUAUUUGCAUAAUUUUCCACAGACUUAAAGCAUUUUUUCGAUUUACGCAAAUAUAAUCAGCUGGGACUGGGACGGGACUUGCUAUUCAUAUAACAUAUCGUUCACUUUUUGCUAUUUAAUCGUAAAAAUAGCAGCAGAAGCUCACAUCUUCUAGGGUAUCAAUAGCUUCGGUCCCUCGGCGCCUAACUGCUACUCUCGUUGGCACUUCUGUUGAAUGUUCGGAGCUGUGUUUGUUGCUGGGCUUUUUUUUUCGGUUGUUAACUGAAGUUUCUCAUGCAAAUCCACGCAAAGUUCAAGUAAUCAUGAUCACGGCGAUCAUCAUCAUCAUUAUCAUCGUACCGUAACAUGGCAUCCAGCAUCCAGCAUCCAGCCACCAAUGGAUGCUGCUUCUCCCAGUAAAAGUCAUUCCAUAGUCAAGUGUCGAAUACCUCCAGCUGUGGCUCUUCCACUUCCACAUCCAAAUCCACUUCCUCCUCUGAUUCUCUACUGUUUCUCUUCUGUGGAUUGUGUGUGUGUGUUUUUUUUUUGUGUAGCCCCCAGCCACUACUCUCCUCUGAAGAUCUCAACACUCUCUCAAAACUCUGGAGUGCUUCAUGUCCGCGGGUUGUAAUUAAAAUGUUCAAUAAAUCGUCAAACUUGA